GACGAACGCUGGCGGCGUGCUUAACACAUGCAAGUCGAGCGGAGAAUAUAGCAAUAUAUUCUUAGCGGCGGACGGGUGAGUAACGCGUGGGCAACUUGCCUCAUACAGGGGGAUAACACUGGGAAACUAGUGCUAAUACCGCAUAAAAUAGUGAAGUGGCAUCACUUUACUAUCAAAGGAGCAAUCCGGUGUGAGAUGGGCCCGCGUCCGAUUAGCUAGUUGGUGGGGUAAUGGCCCACCAAGGCGACGAUCGGUAGCCGAACUGAGAGGUUGAUCGGCCACAUUGGGACUGAGACACGGCCCAGACUCCUACGGGAGGCAGCAGUGGGGAAUAUUGCGCAAUGGGGGAAACCCUGACGCAGCAACGCCGCGUGAAGGAUGAAGGUUUUCGGAUUGUAAACUUCUUUGAUUGGGGACGAUAAUGACGGUACCCAAAAAACAAGCCACGGCUAACUACGUGCCAGCAGCCGCCGUAAGAC
rnacentral:rRNA from 1 species